rfam:Streptomyces sp. CB01249 scaffold4, whole genome shotgun sequence.
CGCGCGCGUGCGCCGAAUUCCGCAAGGGAACCGGGGAACCACCUACAUGGGGUGAAUCGGGCAUCUUCGUCUUCACAAGAGGCGGAGGAACCCGUAGGAGACCUUCCUGCUCCGAACCCGUCAGCUAACCCGGUAGGCGAGAAGGAAGGAAAGG